rnacentral:lncRNA from 1 species
ACACCACCAGUCCCUCCUGCAAGACAUUACAGUGUAGCUGGCAAUAUGAAGGUGAACUUUCCACAGACUCGCAUAGCCACAGAAGUUUUCAAAAUUGGCAAACAUGUCUGGCUUCAAGAAGGUGAUGAUGUAAAGGUCUUGAUGCCUUCCUCAACCAAAGAUGGACAUUUGACGGUACAGUUUCAAGGUGUUACUCAGGAUGUUCCACAUCACAUUGUACAACUCCGGACCAUGGGUACAUUAUUAUAAAACAACCACUUAUACAAGUGGGAGAAGUAUGAACCAACAACAGAUAUUGUAUGAGAUUGCUUAAUUCACUAGACACAAAAGGUAAAUCUCCUUCAAAUUACAUUCUGCUGCCUCGAAUUGUUGUACAAUUUAAUCCCAGAUAUGCAGAAUAACAAGAUUGUUGCUGGAAUACCUUCAAUCAUAGGUCUCUCACUCAAUAAGAAACGACCAGGGACUGAACAACAUCAGAAAGUAAGAGAACACAGAAAAGAAUAUGGUUUUUUUUUUCUUUGAAGUAUAUUUUAAAGUUUUAUCCCAUUCAAUGCAAACUUACACAAGAAAGUUGGUCAGACGUCUUAGAUUUCACUUUUUAUUUUUUAAAUUUAUUCUGUGUCAGAUAAUGUGACAUUCAAAGAGUUUGUGGGUGCUGUUAGUAAGACUAGGAACAUUUUUGAAAGACAGAAAAUAAGUUUAAUACAAGUUAUAAAACAUGUGUGAUGAAAAUUGCAAUGAGUAAAUUUGUGCUGAGUCAUAGUUAUACAGGAUCUCUUUGCAUUGCUUGAAGUCAAAAUGAAAUGAUAGGAACAAUUAAUUAAAUAUACUCCAUUUUGAAACGAACUAAAUUUAUAUUUCAAAUCGUUAUAUAUAUAUAU